AUUGAACGCUGGCGGAAUGCUUUACACAUGCAAGUCGAACGGCAGCACGGACUUCGGUCUGGUGGCGAGUGGCGAACGGGUGAGUAAUGUAUCGGAACGUGCCCAGUCGUGGGGGAUAACGUAGUGAAAAUUACGCUAAUACCGCAUACGAUCUAUGGAUGAAAGCGGGGGAACGCAAGACCUCGCGCGAUUGGAGCGGCCGAUAGCAGAUUAGGUAGUUGGUGGGGUAAAGGCCCACCAAGCCAACGAUCUGUAGCUGGUCUGAGAGGACGACCGGCCACACUGGAACUGAGACCCGGUCCAGACUCCUACGGGAGGCAGCAGCGGGGAAUUUUGGACAAUGGGCGAAAGUCUGAUCCAGCCAUUCCGCGUGCAGGAUGAAGGCCCUCGGGUUGUAAACUGCUUUUGUACAGAACGAAAAGGUUUCUACUAAUACUAGGAGCUCAUGACGGUACUGUAAGAAUAAGCACCGGCUAACUACGUGCCAGCCGCCGCCGUAA
rnacentral:rRNA from 1 species